GACGAACGCUGGCGGCGUGCCUAACACAUGCAAGUCAACUUGAGGGAAGGAGCAAUCUGACCUGAUGGUGGCGCAAGGGUGCGCAACGCGUAAGUAACUUGCCCCAAGGUAAGGAAUAACGUCGAGAAAUCGGCGCUAAUACCUCAUAAUGCAGCGGAUCCGCAUGGAUAUGUUGUUAAAGGUUUACCGCCUUGGGAUAGGCUUGCGUCUGAUUAGCUAGUUGGUGUGGUAAUGGCACACCAAGGCUACGAUCAGUAACUGGUCUGAGAGGAUGAUCAGUCACACUGGAACUGAGACACGGUCCAGACUCCUACGGGAGGCAGCAGUGAGGAAUAUUGGGCGAAUGCACGAAAGUAGUGACCCAGCAACGCCGCGUGGAGGAGUGAAGGUAUUCUAUAUCGUAAACUACCU
rnacentral:rRNA from 1 species